AUGUGGAUGAGGCCCGCAAAUCCCCUCCACCCCCGAUCCCGCCGCGAGAGCAACCACGGGGCAUCUGCGUCCGGUACGUCGACGACCGCGGGCUCCUUCCAACCCGCGCCACCACCUCCGCCUCCGACGACCCGUCCACCUCCGCCACCACCGCUCUACACGGAGGGCGCAGCUCCGUUGCCGUUCGCCCGGCUCGUUAACCACGGGCCGCCUCUGUUGCUGCAAACCUCGCCUCCGGCAUACGAGCGGGGCGCCGAGCACUACACCAAGCCGCCCAAGCACGAUUUCCCCCGCUUCGACGGCGACGCGCCGCGCAUCUGGCUGGAGCGGUGUCUCUCAUACUUCGAGCUCUACAGGGUGCCGCAGCACAGUUGGGUUGCCACCGCCGGCCUGUACAUGGAUGGGCUCGCAGCCAUGUGGCUUCAGGCGUACAGACAGACGCACCCUGCUCUGUCAUGGCCAGCCUUCAGAACAGCAGUUGAAGCAGAGUUCGGACCAGAAGAAUUUGAAGCUCAGAUGCAUCAGCUAGUGCAAUUGCGGCAGACUGGAGGUGUGCAAGAGUAUCGCCAGCAAUUUGAGACCUCCAUGUACCACCUAUUGUCUCUGGAUCCAACCUUGAGCACACAAUUCUUCAUCUCCCAGUUCCUGCUAGGUCUGAAAGAUGAACUACGAUUGGGCGUCCGUUUGCAGGCCCCAACAAGCAUCACACGUGCAGCUGUUUUCGCAAGGAUCCAGGAAGAAGAACUGGAGAAGCAACGGCUGCAGCGGCCGCGCAUUGUUCCAGUGGGCAGGCCACCUCCAGCAGCACCCAGCCACAACCAAGCGCGUGCAGCGCCUGCCGCACGACCGGGCGGCGACGAGUAUGCACGCGAGCGACAGCUGCGCGAAUUCAGGCGAGCCAACGGGCUCUGUUUUCGCUGUGGCGACAAGUACUCCCGCGAACAUCAGUGCAAGCGCACGGGACAAAUACUGAUGAUUGAAGUGGGUGAUUUCGGCGAGAUCCUCUCGAAUGACACCGUGCACGCGUUGCAAUUGCUCGAUGAGCCGGCCCAGCCCGAGCCGGAGUGCUGUACCUUAUCGCAGCACGCGAUUUCCGGCGAAGACGCGCCGUCCACCGUUCGCCUUCGAGCACAAGUGGGGGAUCAAGUGAUGCUGCUUCUGGUGGACUCGGGCAGUUCUCAUAGCUUCGUCAGCGAGGCGUUCAUUCAGCGCAUUGCGGUAGACACCCAAGCACUGCUGCCUGUCUCUGUUCGGGUAGCAAAUGGCCAACGCUUGCACUGUAACAAGGUGGUGAAGCAAUUGGCAUGGCAAGUGCCAGGACACACAUUCGACACUGAUCUUCGGGUGUUACAGCUGAGUGCGUAUGACGCAGUUUUGGGCAUGGAUUGGCUCUCUGACCACAGCCCGAUGAACUGUCACUGGAAACUGAAGCGCAUUUCGUUCGAAACAGAGGGCAAGACGGUGCAACUACAAGGGGUUCGCACCACCAACCUCUCCCCCACGGCCGGACUGGAUGCUUACGAACUUCACCGAAUGGAAGUCGCCAAUGACAUAUGGACAGCAGCACUGGUCACGAUUGAGCCGUCAGAUAAAGUGAAUACAGAGCCGGUACCUCCCAGGAUUCAGAAAGUGCUCUCUGAAUAUCAAGACGUGUUUGCUGAACCCAAGGCCCUGCCUCCUCAUCGUCAGUAUGAUCACGGCAUACACCUGGAGCCAGGAACUGCCCCCAUCAAUACCAAGCCAUACCGCUACUCGCCAGCAGAGAAAGAUGAGAUCGAGCAGCAAGUGCAGGAGAUGUUGCAAUCAGGUGUCAUUGUAUACAACAUGAGUCCAUAUGCCGCACCGGUCUUGCUUGUGAAGAAAAAGGAUGGGAGCUGGCGUUUCUGUGUUGACUUUCGUCGACUAAAUUCUGCUACGGUGAAGAACAAAUUCCCACUACCCAUUGUGGAUGAACUUCUGGACGAGCUUGCAGGAGCAAAAUAUUUCUCCAAGAUCGACCUCCACGCAGGGUACCAUCAGAUCCGCAUGCGUGAGGACUGA
rnacentral:rRNA from 1 species